CGACCUCAGAUCAGACGUGGUGAUUUGUCGUAUUUAAGCAUAUUACUAAGUGCAGGGAAAGAAAUUAAUCAUGAUUCUUUCAGCAAUGGUGAGUGAAGAGCCCAGCGCCAAAUCCCUCCCAGGUGAUGGGAGUAGGAAAAUGUGGUGUAUGGAAGACUGUCUUCCCAGUGCUGCCCAGGGAAUCCAAGUCCUUGUGAUUGAGGCUCAGCCCAUGGAUGGUGUGAGGCUGGCAGCAGCCCCUGGGAUGUUGGGAUCAGGUCUUCUCAGAGUUGGGUUGUUUGCAAAUGCAGUCCAAAGUGGGAGGUAAUCUCCAUCUAAGACUAAACACUGGCAAAAGACCGAUAGUGGACAAGUACCAUAAGGGAAAGUUGAAAAGAACUUUGAAAAGAGAGUUCAAUAGGGCAUGAAACUGUUCAGAGAUAAACAGGUGGGGUCCACACAGUCCACCUAGGAGGAUUCAACUCAAUGGCCACAUCAGCCAACUGGGUGAGGUGGAUUUCCUCCGGGGUGGUGGGAGACCAGCCCCAGGCAUGACAGCUGCCAUCAGGUGCACUUACUCUGUGGCAGUGUGCAGCGACUGGCUCUGGGUCAGCUGUGAAGACCGUGCAGAAGGUGGCUCUCUUCCCUAGAGGGGAGUGUUACAGCCCAUGGCAUCAGCUCUUGCCUUGUCCUGGAGUCAUGGGAGAUGACUGUCACUGCACCCACCCCCACCCUUGCGGCAGGGAGGCCCCCAGCUCCAGGCUGGACUGUCGAUUGGGCAAGACUGUCCUCUGUCCAACCAAACUGCAUCUCAUCACUGGGGCAUCGGGCUCACCUUGGGUGCCCGGGAUCCACAGCAAUGUCAGUGACUCACCCAUCCUGUCUUGAAACAUGGACCAAGGAGUCUGACAGGUGUGCGAGUCUGAGUGUGGGCAGCAGACCCCAAGGCACAAUGAAAGUGAGGGCCGGCACACGCUGACCAAGGUAGGAUCCCCCAACCUAUGCAGAGGGCUCACUGCCAGCCCUUCUCACCCAUCCCAAUGGGGAGAUGGAGUGUGAACAUACCUGGUUCAACCUGAAAGAUAGUGAACUAUGCCUGCGCAGGUUGAAGCCAAAGGAAACUCUGACUGCAACCCAUAGCGGUCCUGACUUGAAAAUCAGUCAUCUGACCUGGGUAUAGGGGUGAAAGACAAAUCAAAUCAUCUAGUAGCUGGUUUCCUCUGAUGUUUCCCUCAGGAUAGCUGGCACUCAGAGGACAUGGUUUUACCUGGUAACAUGAAUGAUUGAGGUCUUGGGGACAAAAUUAUCUCAACCUAUUCUCACACUUUAAAUGGGUAAGAAGCCCAACUCACUGGCUUGGAGCUGGGCAUGGAAUGUGAGCUCUUAGUGAGCCACUUAUGGUAAGUAAAACUGGCACUGAGGGAUGAACUGAACACUGGGUUAAGGCUCCCAAUGCAGAUGCUCAUCAGACCCAAGAAAAGGUGUUGGUUGAUUUAGACAGCAGGGUGGUGUCCAUGGAAGUCAGAAUAUACUAGUGAGUGUGUAACAACUCACCUGUCAAAUCAACUAGCCCUGAAAAUGGAUGGCAGUGGUGUGUCAGGCCCAUACCUGUCCAUCACCAGUGCUGGGAGCCAAGGGAGGCUAUACUGUGAUGAGUAGGAGGGCUGCAGCAGUGGCACUGAAGCCCUGGACUAGGGCCCAGGUGUAGCCGCUGUGGAUGCAGCUCUUGGUGGUAGUAGCAAAUAUUCAAAUGAGAGCUUUGAAGGAUGAAGUAGAAAAGGGUUCCAUGUAAACAGCUGUUGAACAUGGGUCAGUCGGUCCUGAGAGAUAGGUAAGUGCUUUUCUGAAGGGAUGGGCGAUGGUCUCCAUUGCCCUCAGAUGAUCAAAAGGGAGUAGGGUUCACAUCUUCGAAUCUGGAGCAGUGGAAAUGGGCACCUCACAGUGUGCAGUGAGGUGAUGCAAAGGAUCCCGGAGAAGCUGGUGGGGGCUACUGGGAGAGUUCUCUUUUCUUUGUAAUGGGCAGGGUGGCCUGGAAUGGGUUCACCCAGAGAGAGGGGGCCAUGCCAUGGAAAGUGUCGUGAUUCCAGUGGCAUCAGGUGAGCUCUUGCCAGCCCUUGAAAAUCCAGGGAGAGGGUGUAAGUCUCGCACCGGGCUGUACCCAUAUCUGCAGCAGAUCUCCAAGGUGAACGGCCUCUGGCAUGUUAGAAUGAUGUAGGUAAGGAAAGUCAGCAAGCCAGAUCCAUAAAUUCAGGAUAAGGAUUGACUCUAAGGACUGGCUUGAUCAGGCUUGGGUGUGAAGCUGGGCUGGGUGUGCACCAUGGCUGGAUGAGUCAUAGCCCCCUUGCUGCAUCCUUUCCUCCCAGGGGGGCCAGGGGGAUGGUGGAGCUAACUCUUUAUGUGCUCCAGGCCCUUCCUGUGGAUUGCCCCAGUUGUGGUGGGUGCCAUCCUGACUGGCAUCUCACAUCAUCCGGCAGCUAGCAGCUGACUUAGAAUUAGUGUGGAAGGAAUCUGACUGUUUAAUUAAAAUAAAGCAUCACAAAGACCCAAGAUGGGUGUUGAUGUGAUGUGAUUUCUGCCCAGUGCUCUGGAUGUCAAAGUGAAGAAAUUCAAUGAAACGUGGGUAAACGGCAGGAGUAAGUAUGACUCCCUUAAGGCAGCCAAAUGCCUUGUCAUCUAAUUAGUGACACACAUCAAUGAAUGAAUGAGAUUUCCACUGUCAAUACCUACUAUCUAGUGAAAUCACAGCCAAGGGUAUGGGGUUGGCAGAAUCAGCAGAAAAAGACGACCUUGUUCAGCUUGACUCUAGUCUGGCACUGUGAAGAGACAUGAAAUGUAUAGAAUGAGUGGGAGGCCUCAUCUGCUGGUGAAAUACCACUACUCAUAGUUUUUCACUUACCUAGGUCUCUUGCUUCUGGCUCCAAGCUCCUGGGCAUCCGGGUGCGACCCACUCUAAGGAUAGUGUCAGAUGGGGAGUUUGACUAGGGAGGUACACCUCAAAGAGUAAUGCAGGUGUCCUGAGGUGAGCUCAGGGAGGACAGAAACCUCCUGUGGAGCAGAAGGGCAAAAGCUCGCUUGAUCUUGAUUUUCAUUAUGACUACAGACUGUGAAAGCAGGUCCUCACAAUCCUUCUGGCACGUUGGGUUUUAAGCAAGCGGUGUCGGAAAGCUUACCACAGGGAUAACUAGCUUUUGGCAGCAAGCGUUCAUCGUGACAUCGCUUUUUGAUCCUUCAAUGUUGGCUCUUCCUAUCAUUGUGAAGUAGAAUUCACCAAGUGUUGGAUUGCUCACCCACUAAUAGGCAAUGUUAGCUGGGUUUAGACUGUUGUGAGACAGGUUAGUUUUACCCUACUGAUAAUGUGUAGUAAUCCUGCUCAGUAAAGGAGGAACUGCAGGUUCAAACAUUUGGUGUAUGCACUUGGAUGAGGAGCCAAAGGUGUGAAGCUACCAUCUGUGGGAUUAUGACUGAAUGCCUCUAAAUCAGAAUCCCACCCAAACAUAAUAAUACCUCAGCACUGUGGAUCUUGAGUUGACCAGGGAUAGUCUACCACAAGGUCACUGAGGAGCCCCACGUGUCACUGGGUCUAAGUGCAGACAGAAGGAGGCUGCCUCACUCUAGCAUUGCACUAUAUAUUUGUGGGGAACUGGGUGCUAACUCAUUCGUAGAUGAUCUGAUUCUGAGUCAGGGUUUCAUACCUAGCAGAGCAGCAAAAAUCUGCAAUCUACUAAAAGUCAGCCUUUGAGCCAAGCUUUUGU